UGGGGAAUAUUGGACAAUGGGCGCAAGCCUGAUCCAGCCAUGCCGCGUGUGUGAAGAAGGCCUUUUGGUUGUAAAGCACUUUAAGCGAGGAGGAGGCUACUUGGAUUAAUACUCUAGGAUAGUGGACGUUACUCGCAGAAUAAGCACCGGCUAACUCUGUGCCAGCAGCCGCGGUAAUACAGAGGGUGCGAGCGUUAAUCGGAUUUACUGGGCGUAAAGCGUGCGUAGGCGGCUUCUUAAGUCGGAUGUGAAAUCCAUGAGCUUAACUUAGGAAUUGCAUUCGAUACUGGGAAGCUAGAGUAUGGGAGAGGAUGGUAGAAUUCCAGGUGUAGCGGUGAAAUGCGUAGAGAUCUGGAGGAAUACCGAUGGCGAAGGCAGCCAUCUGGCCUAAUACUGACGCUGAGGUACGAAAGCAUGGGGAGCAAACAGG
rnacentral:rRNA from 2 species